rnacentral:rRNA from 1 species
GACGAACGCUGGCGGCGUGCUUAACACAUGCAAGUCGAACGGAAAGGCCCUGCUUUUGUGGGGUGCUCGAGUGGCGAACGGGUGAGUAACACGUGAGUAACCUGCCCUUGACUUUGGGAUAACUUCAGGAAACUGGGGCUAAUACCGGAUAGGAGCUCCUGCUGCAUGGUGGGGGUUGGAAAGUUUCGGCGGUUGGGGAUGGACUCGCGGCUUAUCAGCUUGUUGGUGGGGUAGUGGCUUACCAAGGCUUUGACGGGUAGCCGGCCUGAGAGGGUGACCGGCCACAUGGGGACUGGGAUACGGCCCAGACUCCUACGGGAGGCAGCAGUGGGGAAUAUUGCACAAUGGGCGGAGGCCUGAUGCAGCAACGCCGCGUGCGGGAGGACGGCCUUCGGGUUGUAAACCGCUUUCGCCUGUGACGAAGCGUGAGUGACGGUAAUGGGUAAAGAAGCACCGGCUAACUACGU